UGGAAAAAAGCCAAAAAAGAGGCAUUCGUUUGUUAAACGGACCAAUGGGCACGUUCGCCCUUUUCCAG
rnacentral:tRNA from 1 species